rnacentral:rRNA from 1 species
GAUGAACGCUGGCGGCGUGCCUAAUACAUGCAAGUCGAGCGAACAGACGAGGAGCUUGCUCCUCUGACGUUAGCGGCGGACGGGUGAGUAACACGUGGAUAACCUACCUAUAAGACUGGGAAAACUUCGGGAAACCGGAGCUAAUACCGGAUAAUAUAUUGAACCGCAUGGUUCAAUAGUGAAAGACGGUUUUGCUGUCACUUAUAGAUGGAUCCGGGCGGCAUUAGCUAGUUGGUAAGGUAACGGCUUACCAAGGCAACGAUGCGUAGCCGACCUGAGAGGGGGUCCGGCCACCCUGGAACUGGGACACGGUCCAGCUUCCUACGGGGGGCGGAGGUAGGGAAUCUUCCGCAAUGGGCGAAAGCCUGACGGAGCAACGCCGCGUGAGUGAGGAAGGUCUUCGGAUCGUAAAACUCUGUUAUUAGGGAAGAACAAAUGUGUAAGUAACUAUGCACGUCUUGACGGUACCUAAUCAGAAAGCCACGGCUAACUACGUG